rnacentral:rRNA from 1 species
UAGGGAAUCUUCGGCAAUGGGGGGAACCCUGACCGAGCAACGCCGCGUGAGUGAAGAAGGUUUUCGGAUCGUAAAGCUCUGUUGUAAGUCAAGAACGAGUGUGAGAGUGGAAAGUUCACACUGUGACGGUAUCUUACCAGAAAGGGACGGCUAACUACGUGCCAGCAGCCGCGGUAAUACGUAGGUCCCGAGCGUUGUCCGGAUUUAUUGGGCGUAAAGCGAGCGCAGGCGGUUAGAUAAGUCUGAAGUUAAAGGCUGUGGCUUAACCAUAGUACGCUUUGGAAACUGUUUAACUUGAGUGCAGAAGGGGAGAGUGGAAUUCCAUGUGUAGCGGUGAAAUGCGUAGAUAUAUGGAGGAACACCGGUGGCGAAAGCGGCUCUCUGGUCUGUAACUGACGCUGAGGCUCGAAAGCGUGGGGAGCGAACAGGAUUAGAUACCCUGGUAGUCCACGCCGUAAACGAUGAGUGCUAGGUGUUAGACCCUUUCCGGGGUUUAGUGCCGCAGCUAACGCAUUAAGCACUCCGCCUGGGGAGUACGACCGCAAGGUUG